rnacentral:piRNA from 1 species
UGAUAACCUUCAAACUUUCGUCAUCUGC